rnacentral:rRNA from 1 species
GAUGAAGAACGCAGCGAAAUGCGAUAAGUAAUGUGAAUUGCAGAAUUCAGUGAAUCAUCGAAUCUUUGAACGCACAUUGCGCCCGCCGGUAUUCCGGCGGGCAUGCCUGUUCGAGCGUCAUUUCACCACUCAAGCCCAGCUUGGUGUUGGGGCACCCGGC